CGGCGGGGGGGCGCGGACUACACUUCCCGGCACGCUCCGCGGGAGCGGGGGGGACCCCCCACCCCACCCCUCCGCCAGCCUCUACUGCUGGUUCCCCCCCAUCCCCGCCGCCUCCCUCAGCGCGGCGGGGUUCGAGCUGCCGCCCGCUGCAGGCAGCGCCGCCGUGAGGGGCUGCCCCGCCACCGGGCCCUGCCGUUACCUGGGAGAGCCGGGGCUAUUUUUAACCUGGAUGUGUUCUGUGAUUUGUUUCCCACACAGCAUUGAAACUGGCACAGCUGAGGGGUUGGCGGCAAUGAAGUUGCACCAAGAAGUCCAAGAGCAAUCAGGAGAGACUUCAGGGCUUCAGGAUGGUUGCUUAAGGGGUCAGGAGCACAGAUGCUUAAAAUACCAAGACUUUUUCUUUUCCAGCUAUCUAAAUAAUUUUCCCUGUGAACUGAACUGCUUCCUCUGGAUAAUACACUGUUUUUCUAUCUGCUGGAGAGGUGGAGUCCCCCUGAAUGUACUGCUGUUCUGCAUAACCAGGAACUGUCUCCUGAACACAGAGUAAGACAGAACAGCUUGGACUUAGCAGUCCUGUGAGAUUUACAAAUCAAACCAGCUAAUCAAGAUUUAAAACAGCUCUGGAUUGAAAAGACUAGCAAGUGGUCCAGCUGUGAGUUAAUUCAUUAGUUGCAGUAAAUAUCACUAGAAGAGCUUGUCAAAAGGAAAUGUGAAGCAGCUGAAAAGAAUCAUCCUUAAAGUGAAUGUCAUAGGCUUUUGCAGCUGUCAUCCAGUGGACUGGAGAUUCCAGGCAUUGGAGAGAAAAUGAGGGUGAAAGAAAUAAAAAUUUGAGUACAGAGGAUAAAGUACUAGUUCCCACUGAGUGAUUAUAAAGGAAGCAAUCUUACCACUACAGGGACCUAAUUAGAGACUGAAUCUCACAACUGUCUAAUGUCUCCUCCAGGACUCUGAGAAACCUGAACGAGCUAACACAGUCCACUCAGACCAGCAGCACUAGGCUAGCCCUGCUGCUUCAGGGCACACUGGAAUGCCACAUUUAUGUAGCUGUGGGCAUUUUCCAGUGUUCUUGUGUCCUGUUCAGCACUCGCUUAGAACCAAAGCAGCAACAUUGUUUUCUUGCCUGGCCAGCACAGCAUCAUCUUGGUCCUACAGAAGGCAACAAUGGGCUUCUACUGCCACAUACCUGAGUAUCCCUAAGGAAAGGCAUUGUACCCAUUGUACCAGGCAAAUAUAAGAGUUAGUUGUCAGCAUUAACAAAAGAGAAUUUCACAUUUCUAUGACUGAUCUGAUGAAUCACUACUUUUCUUGCUCCCCAAAAUGUGUAGAUCAGGUGUGAGUCCUCAGGCCUUCCUGGAGUCACCAGUGCUGUCAGUCAGGGCUUGCGUGUAUCAAUUCGCUUAAGCCUGGGUGCAGGGCUCAGCUCUCCCACCUUGAUCCACCUACUGCUUGUCUGAGACACUGUCACCCUUCUUUCCAUCCUUGUGGAAAUGUGGAAACACUGGCCAUAGUUUGAGGCUAACCUUUGGCAGCAAUGCCCACUGCUUCUCUAGCUUCUCCUUCCAACUUCUGAGCUGCAUCACCUCAUCAUUGAUGUGCCAAGCAGGGAACUCCCUGACUUAGGUUUUUUCUUUGGUGAUUUCUUCUAAGCAGCAACAAGUUUUUACUAGAUUCUAUUUAUGACUGAUCAUUUCUGGACCCUGGUCCUCGAUAUUUCCCUCCUGGUGCAAGGAAGCGCUGUGACAGCAAGUAGCCAUGCUCUGGGGUCAGCAGUGGGGUGAGCAAGGAGGAAUUUUUUUGCCUGGUAUUGCCAUGAAAGGCACGUUUAAUGUAACCCUGUCCCCACAGAGUGAUUCUGUGCAGGUGAGGCUUCAGGGAAGUACAAGGAUCUCUUCCAGUAUUACUGCUACUAGCAGUCACAUUUUUCUGUAGCAGGAUUUUCCAGGCAUAGGGAAGGUCUGUGCCUUCUGAGACCACUCAGGUAGUUCAGUGCUCCUGGGAAGAAGAGGGAUUACUGCACAGGUGCAUCGUGUUUGCAGGGACAGUGGUUUAGAGGUCUCUUCUGAAGAUGGGAGGAGGUAAGUGACCUGCCCAGAGAGAGCUCAGCCAAUAUCUGACAAGGACAUUUUCAUAACCAAGAUAAAUAAACAGAUGCCUUUUUUGCUCUAGGGAGAUAAUUUCUUCUUUGCUACUAGCCUGAGACCAUUCACUUGGCUUAUCCUGUAUCUUUGCCAUAUGAAACAAGCCUGAACCAUUUCAUUUGAGGUUGUUAUUUAUUUGGGUCAAUAUGAAACAUUUCUGGCAUUUCUUUUCCAUUUUCCCGCCUUUAUAUGUUGCUGUCUUCACUCCUGUGUAUAUGUUUUCUUCUCUAAUAUCUCAGUUCUCCUCUCUUGUAAUAUUUUAAAUUCUUAAUUGCUUGAUGCUGCAAAUGGAGAGUAUUAGUUACCUUCCAUGACCACUCUGACCACAAUGACUUCCUUUGCUUGACAAGCUGAUUAAUUUGUCAAGUUGAAUGUUUAAGUCUGUCUGGAGUAUCUCUGUGUAUCUUGUGCAAGCUUGCAGUUGCAAUUUUGUUCUUUAUUGGACAUGCUGUUUCUUCAGACACAGAAUACCUCUGAGGGGCUUUUCUUCCCCCACUUCCCUACUGAGAGUGAUGCUCCUGCAGUUUAUACCAAUGAUCAUAUCCUGCAUGUCCCCUAGAAGAGGGUAAACAGCAGGUGCAGCACGGAAGCCAUAGCAUCAGCAGUGCUUUCAGAUUGUCCAGUGGAUAUAAUUGAGGGAAAAUAGCAAAACUCAAGUAAAUUAAAUGCAUUUCAUAGCAGUUCCUGAGGGAGAACAGACUGCAUUGUUUGUGAGCUUCAAUCCAGGUCAAGCAGGCCAGAUCUUCCACAGAGAAGUUGCUGACUUUGGCCCCAAAAUAUCAUUGUUAAGGUAAGAAAAACAUCCAAAUUUCUCUUAAUUUUUCCUAGUUGGUACAUUAUAAAGGCAUUCAGACCACUGUAGACAUAAGCAUUCAGGAAACAACACUAAGCAACACAAAGAACAAAAAACAGUAGGUACUUCCUGAGAAGUUUGGAAAACUGACUCUUAUGCCACUGAGGGAGGGUAAGUCCUAAUAGCUACAGUAGCCACAUGUCACCUGGGACCAGAGUGUGAAUGAUUCUUUUGUAAUAUUACUUGGUGAAUGUAUCAACAUCUUGAGCUCAUUGCAGAAGAGAAAAGAAAAAGCUGGACAGUGUUAUUUUCUGGUGGCACUGGAACAUUAAUUUCUCUGUGAUGGUAUCCAACUGUCUUGGAUAUCUGAGCAGGCAGGUCAAAGGAAAGCAAUGUGUAGACUUGAUUUUCGAAAGCACCUUUUUCCAGUAAGUAUGAACUUAUUUUCUUUUAGGAAUAAUAUUUUUUCCUGGCAUAUUGUAACAGAAAUAAUAAAAUAAACAAAAGCAUGGUAUACUUGUAAGAUGAACCUCAGAGCUAUACCGGGCAAGAAGCUGUCUCAAGGCAGCCUUCGUUUCCCCAGGGACUUUCCCCAGCCACUCCCUGCCCUGGGCUAGUGUGCUGGGAUGCCCUGUCCUGUCCUGUCCUGGGCUCCCCCCUGUUCUGUAGCUCUGAGCCCUGCCACUUCCUGUCCUCGGAAAGGCAGAGGUGGUGGAGCAGGCUCCCAGCAGCUACAGAGGUGCAGAGGUCUCCAUCAGGGUAUCUCCUUGCAGGAGAUGGAGAAGACACCUCUGCCACAGGGCUGCACCAGGGGCAGUCACAGGCUUCCCUCUACAGCUGGCAGCACUCUGCUUUUUCCCGUCAUUUAUUAUCUGAUGUCUGUUUUUGUCUGUUUUGUGCUGGCUUUUGGGACACCUCCUUCUUGGGCUGCCAAGGAUGGUGGCAGUGUCCUCACGCCGAGGGUAUUGGCCCCAGCCCUGGGCACAAAGCAUCCAUCCCCACUGCUCGCCUGACCCUCCCCUUGAGACCUACUUUUGCUGGGAGAAACAAGGUAACCUCGCCACUGAAAAUAGCUGGGACGGCAGCCAGUGGAGAUUAAUGGCAUCAUUAACGUUCCCAGUUUAUUUAUAGGCUUAAAAAUGCCUCAGACCUGCAAACUGAGCAGAGUUGUUCUGUGUAACAGGGACUGACAGGUCUCCUGCUUCUGCCUUUCCCCUUCCUACUAUUUCAUUCUGAUUGCUGAGACUAUAAAACCUCCAGAGCAGGGACUGUCUCUCAUUUUGAACCUACUCUGUAAACCUUCCUAAAUGGGGGGAUGCACACAGAUACUUUUUUUUUUUUCCAAGAAUGCUGUAUUUGUCUGGUCUCCUUCCUCCACCAACUCCUUCUGUGCACACUGUGUCCCAUAGCCUUCUUUGGGAAAAUUAUCUUUUUGAUGAAUUCCUGAGGCACGAGCUGAGCAGUUGUCACAGGAAUUUUCUGUGAUUUUCUGCCUUGGGUUUUAAAUUAUGAGCUCUGUAAGAGGAGGACUAAGAUUCUCAUAGCUGUGGAGAGCACCUAGGAUACGUAGGGCCCUAGUGAGACAUGCAGAUGCAAUUAAUGAUCAUGGAGGUCUUUCAACAGGAGCCAGCAGAGGCAACCCAGCUCCCAGGUCCCCCAGGAACCUCAUGGGACUGGCAAGAAAAGAAAAAAACACCUCAGGUGUGUUGGCCCCAGAAGAGGAGUUUUCAGCACGUAACGUGUGGCCACAUUGCCUGGCCUGUUUCCCAGCACUUAGUGAAAGGGGGUGAAAUAAAGAACGGGCAGAGAAUCACUCAAACCACUGUUGUCUUUUUUUUCCCUCUGGGCAAUGAGAAUACUUCAGAGCAGAGUGAAGGAGCCCAAAAUGGUAGAAGGGGAUUUCUCUGCCAUGGCCACAACAGCAUUGCAGGCAGCAAAGGCAUUGCUGUGCUUUUACGAGAAAAAUCAAGAGCGCAAGAGCACAUCUUGAAGUGAAGGCACAUUGUCAAUAAUUAUGCAUGGUUUGGGUUUGUGCUGUCUCGCCACUCAUCCUUGGAUCCUACACCGAGUCCUGACUUUCUUAUGGCACAGAUAAUAACUUAAAAGAAAGAAACCCAACAGAAUUUCCACAAUCUAUAUGUACAGCAUCACACAUGGAAGACAUAACAUUUGAUGGCUGGCGGCUUUGAAAAAAAUCACAGCUCCAUUGUGCUCCAAAGGCAUAUUGAAUGAUUCAGAUGGAAAGAAAAGCCCACGUCAGUAGGAACAGGGGACUCAAAUACGAGCGUAGAGGCCGACAGACCAGAGGCAUCAAUCCCAGGCAGUAGCACAUCCUGGCAAUGCUGCACCCUGUGACAGCACUGACAUUAUGGUUUCCCCCUCUCUGUUGUGGGUGUGUGGAAGGCAGGUGCUGCUCCCGGUAUUAGGGGUGACCCUGAGCAUCCCUGGCACACAGGAAUGGCACUGAUUGCCUGGGGGUGGUGGGGCAGCAGAACAACACUCCUGUCCUACCUGGGGAGCACAGAUCCAGCCUCCAGCAGCUGGGGGGGAGGUGAACUCACUACUUCCUCCUGGAGCAGGGCUGGCAGCAGUGGAUGUCAGGCAGGGCAGGAGGAAGGGAGUAGGGUCACCACCGAGUGACCCCUAGCAGAGGCAGAACCUCAGUGCUCCUGCAUGGAAUCAGAGCAUGAAGUGCUAGAGAUGUUGUUGCUGUCACUGAACAGCAAAUGCUCCCCAAAAAUAGAUAAUUUCCUUCUUCCACCUCAAAGGAAACAGUGUUGGAAGGAGUCUCAGUCAUAGCUGGGCUGGUGCAAGGAAGGGUCCCUGCCAUAGGUGGGUUUACUGGCAGCCUCCUACUUGGAGACUGUUACACCUCCUGGCGUGUGACUCUCGGACCAGCCAUCAGUCCCAGGCAGGAUCCAAGGGGUUAGUCCUGUGAAAUGCCCUGACACCCACAUGGGUGCUGUGCCUCUCAACCCCUGCCCCAGAGCACAAACCCACCAGCACUUUGCCACCGGUGGGUGACAAAGCAAACCCAAAGCCUUCAGUCCCAAAAACCUGCUGUUAGAGCUGCUCCUGUGCUGAGGGGCUCAGGCUGUGAUCAGUCCUCACCUGCAUUUCCCAGUUCCAGUUUUACAUUUUAGUAGUAGUUCACAGCACCUUCCUUAUUGGCAGGCAUCAGUAGAAAUGCGUGUCAACAAAACCGAAGCGAGCGUAAGCGCCGCUGCAGACAAGUCUGAUAAUAAAAUAUGAGUCACUGUUAUUCAAUCAUUUACCAGCGCACGUUCUACAACAAAGUUCUCUAGGAUCACCACCACACAAAUUUGAGAGGUUUUUUUUAAAGAGAACUGUGAUUUUACUUUCAACUGCGUAGCUGAGUCUUGAGAGGGCUGGUGCCUGUUAUCCCUGCUUGCGGCCCGGUGCUCUGCUCCCUGUGCAUCUGACAUUUUCAAGCCAGGCGUGCGGCACCAAGCCCUGGCACGACCCACGACUUGUGCUCGGCAUGGUGUGGCCAUAGGCAAGAGCUCCACACCGUCCUUCCUCCUGGCAGUUUUCAUGCCUCCCCAGCACCAGGAGCGAACUGGCAGCAAGGCAGGGGCUGCCAGGGCAACCCCCCACUCCAGUUGCCAUCGGUGGCCCUGCACUGCUGCACACCUUCAUCAUCUGUAAUGCCACUGGCUGGUGUUUAGGGGAUAGGCAUUUUCCCCCUGGGCUGGGAUGGGUUUUAAUUUUUGGUAACAAAUGCACUUGACAAACAUGGCAGCACGCGUCCUUAGUUUCCCCUCUGUAAGCCUAAUUUUUUGAAUGGCAUCUUGCAAAAAGCAUUUAAAUGGUGACCUCUUGCUGCUGUAAGAUAUGUGGGGAGAUGGUCUUUACAGGCAUUCAAGCUGUAGUGCUUGGUCUUUCUUGUUUUUACCAGGGAACUUUUGGGAGGUCAGAAAUAUAGGAAUUGAGGUUUUGCUGCCUUAACAGGUGAAGGGCUGCUGGAAGCAUGCGGAUGAACUUCCUUUGUGCCAAAUGACUCUCAUUUAAGUCAAACACUUUUUAACAAUAGAAGCAAGAUUUUAAAAGGGUGUAGCUAAAAACCCCCACAUUUGCUUGUCCUCCUUGCUCUGUGCUGCUGUGCCUCUUGCCGCUUAGCUUGAUCUUGAGCACUCCUGCUGCAGGGAAGGCUUGAGCUUCUGAUGUGGCAAACAGGUAGACUAAGCUAAUUUAGCACUUAAGUCUUUUAUUCCAUCGUAAAGUGGGAAAAGGGAAGGCUCUUCUCUCUUGCGGGUCACCUCUAAUAGCAAUUGCUUCAGCAAGAUGGAUUUCAAAAUUAGGUGCUCUUGAAGCAGAAGCCACAGUGUAUUUUUCAGCAGCGCAAAGCAGCCGUAAGAGCAAUCUGACCUUCAUUCUUCAUAAUAAAUUCAUUGGGGAAAAAAAUCCAUCUUUGUUUUUCAGCUUGAAGUACUGUCAAAAGAAAAGCCGGGGCACGACAUAUACAAAAUAAAAAGUACAAGACAACUUCAGCAAAAUGAUAAAAAACUCUCAGAGAUUUGCUUUUCCUGUUUUUUCUUAUUCCAAUAUCGGAAGAAAGUCUGACAGCUUGUCUACAAGUACAUUAUUUUGGAAUAAAGGCUGGUGUUAAUUUAAAGUGAAUCUAUUCUAGACUAAAUUAAUACCAUCUCAAAAGUGGUUUUCAGAUGUAGGGUGCAAUCCAGUAGCAAAGUCUGAGGAAAACACAUACCCACACUUAGGUACCACGUUGGACUAACACAUUUGUAAAACAUCCCUUAAUGUAUUUCAGGUGCUAAAAUAAUGUCUACUGCAGCCUGACAAAGGAAAAUGGCACACACUGUUAUUUUCUUCUAAAGCAGCCCCAAAAAGAUGUGAUCUGUAGUCAAGGGCAGACCUGUAAGCUAAAGAAUAUCAUAAAGCAAUGUUGUUUGACAGUAUUUGGCAUUUUUCUGUUAUUAAUGAAACAAUUGAUACAUUUGAGUCCUAAAAGCCUGUAGCUGGUCAGUUGCUAAUGGUACAGCAUGGAAACGGUGAAAAUUAAUCAUCUCUGGUAUUAAAUACUAUCUUUGUAUUUUGCCAUGUCUCUGUUACAGACACUGUAUUGAAUAACACAUUAUAACCCAACACAGCACAUUGUCUUUAUUCCUUUAAUCUCCUGUCAGGCAUAGCUGGGAAGGCAGAAUGGGAAUGUUUACUCUAACUAACAGGUCUAACCCUUAGGCUAGCAAGAAUUAGGAGAGGUUUUUUCCAAGCUGGGCUUGUCACCCAUCUAGAGAACCUAAUGCUGUGGCUGCAGUCUGCCUGGCUGCUCUUCUGGAGGAGUCAGUCAAAUCCAUCUUGCCACUUUCUAGCAAGCCUAAACCCAGCUAUUACUCAGCCCUUCUCCUCCUUCACGAUGGGCUGGUUACACUGAUAAAAGCAGCUGUGAAGAGACUCAGUGUCGGCAGUGCCAACAGCACCCUAAUUAGGCUGCAGAAAUCAGCCACUUUAUACCCAUUAGUUUAGCUUCGCAGGGGCCCAUCUGCCUGGACAGAAACUUUUUGUGAAAUUAGCUCAACUUUUUACUACGUCUGGUGUGAUUGCUGAAAGCUCGGCAGAAGAGAUGAACGCUGCCUCUGUUUAGUUAAACCAGUUUAGAGUGUACCUAGAAAGCAAGUGGCUGCAGCUGUACCUCCUUUCAGGACCAACUUGAGAUAAACAGCCAUAAAAUCAUUCUGGCUCCAUUUGGCAUUCAAGGUAUCAUUACUACCACUUAUUAACAUUCAAGUUCUCUCCAGACCAAAACAUUUUUGUUGUUUAGAACAGGAAAAGCCUUUUUUCUCCUCUACAUCAGGCAUUUAGCAUUUAUGUGAAGGUUAAACGUGUAGGAAAUGCUUUUUUACUGUUUUGACAGUGAUGCCAGUGCUGUCUAAUUCCCUUGUAGGCAACCACUGCCUAAACAAUUGCAAUUUCACUGCUCAUUAUUCCCCAGAAAGCAGUCACUUUUAAAGAUCAAGGGGAGGUAUAUUCAAGCUCAAAUGUCAGUAGUAACUGACCUCAGAUCAAGGAAUCUUGGAAUGGUCAAGUCUGACCUAUCUGUGUCAAGAAUCAGAGUUUUGACCAAGAGGAUUAUUUAAGUGCUGGUGCUGCUCCCACCCAACAUCAGCCUCUGCAGCACGAAACAGGCAGUUCUAGCAUUUAUAGUUAUUGUAUUACCUACCCUCUUCAGCCUUGACACACUUUAUCAAUGUUCUAACCCCAAAGACAAGGCAUAGGCCACGCCUGGCCGCCAGGUAAACACCCGCUACUUUUUUAAGUUCAGCUGAAUCCUCUAGGUUACUUCUUGUCAGCAUCAAGCACUGAGAACAAUGGCACAAGACUAUAGGGAUCUCAUUUAGUAUGUUUGUUCCAAGAACAAGAAAUGUGUCUACUUUCCUCUGAUGACCUGGGGAAACAAAAAAACCCUUCAGCACAGAAAAUUUGUCAUCAGUUACGAGCAUUUGAAUGUGUAAUAUCCAGUUUAAGGAGAAAAAAAAAGUCUGUCUGUCCUAAGCUUUCUAUAUUGAGACCUUGCAAACAGCAUUAUUCUUCUGCUUGAAACAGAAAGCAGGAAUGUACAUAUCUGAGAACACCAACACACAAAAAACCCCCAAAUCCUUCGGAUAUUAAGUGAGCCAUUUAACUUAAGUAUUUAAAACCUCUGCAAUUAUUAGUUUAUUAGUAUCAUCCAGGAUUUCAGAUGUUCAAUAUUUCUCCUGAAGUUAUACAUAAAUGCAAAUUGAAAUAAGAAUCUGAAAGUCAAAAUUGUAUAACAAAACAAUACUCCAUCACAAAAGCGUGUAAAAUUACAAGAAUGCUUUUUUUUUUUUUUAAACACUGGCACUUAAGAGAACCAUAAUUUUGUAACCACAAAAUUGCCAAAUUGUCCCCCAAACUGGUAAGCAGGUAUAUGUGAAAAUAGUUACAGCUGCCAGCACUUGAAGUUUUACUAAAUAUGCAAAAAACCCCUUAGCUUUGGUUUUGGAAGAGAACUGUAUUUGACCAAAUUAGACAUUGUUGGUAUACCAUAAACAUUUAACUUUUUAAUGCAAAAUUUAAUAAAAUGUACUUUUCCAUACAACUAUAUUUAACUUAAAAAUGGGCAAACAUCAAGAGUGCGGUAUAAAACCUAACAGGAAAAAUACAUCUUAUCUCAUUUUCAAUUUGAGACAAUAUACAACUUUUUUUAAAGGGCUAAAACUAGAAUUUCAAGAAUACAAAUAUGAAUUUACAUAGAUUUAACAAAUAAUAAUGGUAUCAUUUAUAGAAAUCUUAGAAAGAAAAUUCAUUUCUUGUGGGCCAUUUGCUACCAGGAGUUUCAUGGUAUAAAGCCCGUGGCCAUCACCAGA